UGAAGUGGUUCAGAGCAUCUGAACAGGGAAGCUCUGUGAGGGGCUGGGGGUGCCUUCUCGGGUGGGGGCACCCCGCGCUGAGGAGGGAGGAGUCCCAGACACUCUUUGCAGUUGCAGGCCGCAUGGACGGUGAUGAGUGGCUAAGGAGCAAGGACACAGGGCCCCCUCUGACCCGGGACCUCCUCUCCCCUCUACAGCCUCCCCCCACCUUGAAACCCUCCCUGCGGGACACCAGGGCUCCGGGAGUCCAGGCCGGGGCGCGGCUCUCCAUCCGAAUGAGGCGGGACCGGGAGACGGUGUCUCAGGAACCAAGGAAGGAGAGGAUCGAACAGAGCAGACGCGACUGCCUCCCGGGGCCGGACAGGUGGAGCCCUCAGACCCUGGCCACUUUACAAGUCAGCGGAGUGACGACGCUGGAGGGGGUCCCUGAGAGGUGGUAGGUGAUGGGCGGGCUGCCCGAGGAGGCCUGGCAGGACACCUGCACCAUCGGGCCUGCCCCUCCGUCCAGCAGGGUGAAGUUGGCUUGCGGCUGGGACACGGGCUCUAGCAGGACAGGA